CCAGCUGCCUGGCACCACGGCGCCCCUGAUUACUGAAUCGGGGGGUGACAUGUCAUCUUGAAACGCUACGCCGUGGGUUAGCAUGUUUUUCAGGCCAGCAGCUUCAGUAAAAAUCCCAGCUGGAUCAUGACUUUACUCGGUGAUGGAGAGCAGACGAGAGAGGGCUGCAAAAGAAGCAAUCCGAGGCAAGGGCAUCUGCAAGGCCAAUAAAUAAUGGGGUGUGUAAGGAGCCGGGAUGAUGGCUAGCUGUAUUUACUCUGCACUCCUCUUGACAGCUCUGUGAAUGUGGUGUUUUUCUUCUUCUUUUUAAACUCUCUCGCCUGCAGAGGGACAAUUAAAGGAGCCCAUGCUCGCUUCUAGACUCGGAGAAUGAUUAUGGAAUACUGAUGAGAGGUGAUGCCCGGCCAAUCCUAACAGAGUUUCACUGCCGAGUCCUGCAUUGAUUUGUUUCUCGCUUUUUUUUUCUCCCUUUCUUCCAACUGGUUGAAAAAAGGCUCCACCAGCUGACAGACUGAUAGAAAAAAUGAUAAAUUUGCUUCAGUCUGAUGAGGUGGUGGAGUUAGAAAAACACACCGAUAAAGUGCCGGGCUGAGGAUGUUUUUUGCUUGGGAAAUAGAAUAUGAGGGGCAUUAAGAGGCGCAGCUUUUUAUACUGCAGUGAAAAAUGAGCCCACAGUGAGUCAAAAUGUGACCAGAACAGGUUCAUAGAGUCAAACCACUUAGCCUUGGAGACCCUUGGAACCAUUGGAUCCAGGAUCACAUGUCCAGCUAGGAGAAGACCCUACAACAUGUUGGAGGGAUUACAUGUCGCUUGGGAAUGGUUCGGGAUCCAAAGAAAGAAAUGGAGGAUGUAGCAUCAGAGACCAGUGUCUUGGCUGCAAUGCUGAAGCUGGACUUAUGGUUGUGUUCCAACUGCAUGUUGGAUGGUACGAUAGUGUCGGAAGUAGUGUUGGAUUUGAUCUGACAUUCGCACCCACAUGCUGUUGACCAGCUGUGUGGAGGUGAAAGAGGAGCCAGGCAAUUUAUUAUUUCUGGUUGGUUUUUUUUCUCCACACAUUUGUUCCUCUGAGAAAUCCUCAGCAGUUUUUAAAUGUACAUCCCAGCGCAACAUUAUGAGAAUGAUUAGCAUCAGAUAAGCUGAAUGCGCUCAAAGUAAAAGUACUCAUCAUGCAGAAAGGUCCAGAAUAAUAUACAUUUUAUUAUUGGGUGACAUCUAGAAAUUACGGGCUACAUAACAGAUUAAUUAUUGAUUCUAUCUUGUAUUAUUAAUCUGGACAUGCAAUAUUAAUAAUCAAAUAAAUAUAGUGAAGUAAAAACUACAAUAUUUGCCUUUGAAUGUUAGUAGAAGUAUAAAGGAGCAGAAAAUGGAAACACUCAAAUCCCCUAUAUGCGUAAAUGCGCUUAGUUUCUUUGCACCACUGCCCUUUGAUGUAUUUUGCAUGAUUUGACUUAAAAAUUAUGAAUUGAACUGCACUCUUGAAUUAUAUGUUCUGUAGACA